GGAUGUAGCUCAGUGGUAGAGUACUUGCUUAGCAUGCAUGAGGCCUUGGUUCAAUCCCUGGUACUGCCA
rnacentral:tRNA from 1 species